rnacentral:rRNA from 1 species
AUUGAACGCUGGCGGCAGGCCUAACACAUGCAAGUCGAGCGGAUGACGGGAGCUUGCUCCUUGAUUCAGCGGCGGACGGGUGAGUAAUGCCUAGGAAUCUGCCUGGUAGUGGGGGACAACGUUCCGAAAGGAACGCUAAUACCGCAUACGUCCUACGGGCGAAAGCAGGGGACCUUCGGGCCUUGCGCUUUCAGAUUAGCCUAGGUCGGAUUAGCUUGUUGGUGCGGUAAUGGCUCACCAAGGCGACGAUCCGUAACUGGUCUGAGAGGAUGAUCAGUCACACGGGAACUGAGACACGGUCCAGACUCCUACGGGAGGCAGCAGUGGGGAAUAUUGGACAGUGGGCGAAAGCCUGAUCCAGCCAUGCCGCGUGUGUGAAGAAGGUCUUCGGAUUGUAAAGCACUUUAAGUUGGGAGGAAGAAUUGUAGAUUAAUACUCUGCAAUUUGGACGUUACCGACAGAAUAAGCACCGGCUAACUCUGU